rnacentral:rRNA from 1 species
CAUGUAGGUAUCUGCCCUUUGGCCUGGAAUAACACGAGGAAACUUGUGCUAAUACUGGAUAAGUCUUUACGGAGAAAGCUUUAUGCACCAUUGGAUGAGCCUGCACUUGAUUAGUUUGUUGGUGGGGUAAUGGCCUACCAAGACUGUGAUCAAUAGCUGAUUUGAGAGGAUGAUCAGCCACAUUGGGACUGAGACACGGCCCAAACUCCUACGGGAGGCAGCAGUGGGGAAUCUUGCGCAAUGGGCGAAAGCCUGACGCAGCCAUGCCGCGUGAAUGAUGAAGGUCUUAGGAUUGUAAAA